CCACCAUGGAGCUCCGCACAAAAAUAUCAAAAAGUUAGCCAGGAUUGGAAUAAAGUGAGAUGCAGACAUAGAGGUACCCUCAUACUACAUUCAGUAGACA